UUCUGGCUCAGGACGAACGCUGGCGGCGUGCCUAAUACAUGCAAGUCGAACGGCCUUUCUAUGGAAGCUUGCUUCCACUGAGAAGAUAGUGGCGAACGGGUGAGUAACACGUGGGUAACCUGCCCAUAAGAGGGGGGAUAACAUCCGGAAACGGGUGCUAAUACCGCAUAGUUUUCUUGGUCGCAUGAUCGGGAAAGGAAAGACGGCCUUUGUGCUGUCGCUUAUGGAUGGACCCGCGGCGUAUUAGUUAGUUGGUGAGGUAACGGCUCACCAAGACGAUGAUACGUAGCCGACCUGAGAGGGUGAUCGGCCACAUUGGGACUGAGACACGGCCCAAACUCCUACGGGAGGCAGCAGUAGGGAAUCUUCCGCAAUGGACGAAAGUCUGACGGAGCAACGCCGCGUGAGUGAAGAAAGGUUUUCGGAUCGUAAAACUCUGUUGUCAGAGAAGAACAAGUUGGAGAGUAACUGCUCCAGCCUUGACGGUAUCUGACCAGAAAGCCACGGCUAACUACGUGCCAGCCGCCGC
rnacentral:rRNA from 1 species